AUUCUCAGGAUGAUGGAGUGAGUGAUGGAAUAGGUUGCCAACUGUAGUUACUCCACUCAGCACAGAAUGGCUGCGGGGAAAUAUAAUCAGACAUGCCCAAAGAAGUCUGCUUAGGGUGAAACAAAUACCUUUGAGGUUUAAAUCAGAAAGGAAGGAGAGACUGUUUCUACAGGUGUCAUACAAAAAUCAAUACUGAGCCAAGGAUUAUUGGAUCCCAUAGAACCACGGAGACUUGGUAGUGAAAUUCUUCCAAAGGCAGAUGGUGUUCCUAGGUUUGGAAAUAUAAAUCCCAUGGGAAGUCAGCUGAAGACCAUUUUAUGCAUCACUCAUCCUGUUAGAGCCCUGUGCUGUUCUGUCUCUCUAUAAGACUGGCUGAAACCACCACGGUUGUUUACAAUUUAUGCUCUAACUUUGGAUCACCUAGUUAAUACUCUAACUCCGAUUAUUACCAAAGACAAUGUUCUAUAAAAGAUAUUGUCUAUUAGAAGGAUGCUUCUGCAUUAUUAAUAAAAUCACAGGGAAAAUGCAACAUUUUGGAUGUCACAUCUGAUAAGUUGGCAGUUAAAGAACAGAAACAGCAAUAAGACUGCGUGGCUACAUUUUCCCAGUGCCACCAACUGGGAUUUAAGCUGACUAACAUUUUGAAAGCCCAGCCCAUUUCAUUCACAGCAGGAUGGCAGUGGGUGACUGAUCGUACCCGCCAGCUGGCUAAUGUCAUAAUUAACAAAGUUGCUACUACAUCUGCAAAGUUUAAUCGAAAAAUUUGCCAGUGAUAUGAUGGCCUUGUCACAGAGAUCACAAGGGACACGGAGUUGACUUUUGCUCAAGGUGGAACGACAGAGCUGUGUAGGCAAGAUGAGAAAUUGCGAACUUGUUCGGCCAAAGGAGGCUAAUAAUGAAGGGGCCGGGAAGGAGGCCAGUGCUACCAGGGUUAUCUCACAACCUCAGAUGCUGGAUAAGUCGACGGAGGCAGAAUCGCUUUGGGAUGACAUUCAGAAAGCCUGGAGUGAUUACUUGCAAGAGAAAAGCCUACCUAUUCUUUCCAAG
rnacentral:lncRNA from 1 species